ACUUCAUACCAAUAAACGAGUAUACUUUUUUAAGUGAAAGUAUUAAUAGGGAAGUCAGUCAAUCUGACGCGGUCCCGCCACUGUGAUAGUGAGCGGCCUUACAUGAUGUCACUGGGAUACUGGGAAGACGUAAGGCAGCGAUGAACUUAAGCCAGGAGACCUGCUCGUUUAGAUUAAUCAGA
rnacentral:ncRNA from 2 species